rnacentral:rRNA from 1 species
AUUGAACGCUGGCGGAAUGCUUUACACAUGCAAGUCGAACGGCAGCACGGGGGCAACCCUGGUGGCGAGUGGCGAACGGGUGAGUAAUACAUCGGAACGUGCCCAGUCGUGGGGGAUAACGUAGUGAAAGUUACGCUAAUACCGCAUACGAUCUACGGAUGAAAGCGGGGGACCGUAAGGCCUCGCGCGAUUGGAGCGGCCGAUGUCAGAUUAGGUAGUUGGUGAGGUAAAGGCUCACCAAGCCGACGAUCUGUAGCUGGUCUGAGAGGACGACCAGCAAGACUGGGAGUGAGACACGGCGCAGACUCCUACGGGAGGCAGCAGUGGGGAAUUUUGGACAAUGGGCGCAAGCCUGAUCCAGCCAUUCCGCGUGCAGGACGAAGGCCUUCGGGUUGUAAACUGCUUUUGUACGGAACGAAAAGGCUCUGGUUAAUACCUGGGGCUCAUGACGGUACCGUAAGAAUAAGCACCGGCUAACUACGUGCCAGCCGCCGCUGUAA